AAUGUGAUUUGCAACAUUUAUGUGGUUUUGGUUUUAGAUAAGUGUAAAUGACAUCUUUUUCAAUUUAUUCAUUCUAUUUAAUGCAACAUCAUUCUCUUCUCUAGAACUAAGCCUCGAAGUUUUCCCUUGCUGUGGGCUUUAAAUAUUUCGAGAUGCAAACUGCUGACCUUUAUCUAUUUCAGUAUUAUUGUCAAGAAAAAGGAACCAGAUAAGAAGGUUUAUCUUCAAGGAAAGGGAGGAGGGCUGCUUACAAUUGGUAACUACGCAGGGAGGACUAUGUACAAGGAGCCAUAUCCUGACAUUGAAUCAGAGACUGCAUCAAAUGACCCAACUAACACCUUUUUUAAUGGCUCAUCACCCAGUUACAUCCCUUAGGUAAGAAAGGGAUGCUGAUGAGCUACAUUGGAAAUACCCUAACCCCUGUCAAGGAUCUGUACAGCACAUGAGAAGUGGAAGACGCUGUGUGCAGAGAUCUUUCAAGACAGCUGCAAGGAAAAGACUGUGUCACUGGAAGCUCAACACCAAUGUCUCUUCAGAUUUGCAUGCCUGUGUGAAUGUGAGAUGCUCUAGGAGCACAUGCUGGACUGGCAUAACAGGCCACAUGCCCAUGACUCUUCUAUAAAGUCAAAUAGACUUGAAAAGUUCUAGACAGGGUUUCCAUGGUCUAGUUGAAGCAAUAUUGAAGCAGUUCAAUGAGCACAAGGAUCUUCAUGAUGACACAAUUUAAUUUGGACGUACAUAUAACAAGCUUCCCGUGCUUAAGAGGCAUUAUAAUAAUGUAAUGAAUAAUAUGCUUUUUUGUUUAGCCCUGAAGUGACCAGGCAAUUGGACUUGAUGAUCUCUGCAGGUCCCUUCCAACUGGCUAUUCUAUUUUGUUCUAAAAAGAUAUCUCUGAAGAUCUGACCCUGGAAUAACUCAGUAUGGAGAUGGGUAUUAAAACUACCUCCAAAAGUAAUUUGAAGUUCCACACUGUACUUGCAUGUCUUUUUUUGUCCUUUUUUUUUUUUUCUUUCUUUUUUUUUUUUUUUCUUCUCUUAAAGCUCUCAAAUAAUGCGUGUAUUUGGAAAACCACACACUGGGCAUUUCUAAGCCAUGCAUUUUAUUGAGUUUUUGAAUUCUGCAAGAGUUUUUUUGUUUGUUUGUUUUAAUUGUAAUUAAAAUAAUAAUCUUGUAAUUAAAAAAAAAAAAGUAUCGUAAUGUUUCAUAGCAGUUUUCAAAUUCACUUUCUCAGGCACUGUUAAGGGAAAACAGAGCUCUUCCCACCAGGCAAUGCAAAGGAGGCAGUUCAGGAAGUGUUAACAUGCUUUUCUGACACUACAAAUGGUAUCCAUAUCA